GCACUACUGAGGAGUCCUACGAUAGGACGAAACGGCCGUCCAGAGC
rnacentral:hammerhead_ribozyme from 1 species